UCAGGGGCUUAAACUAGCCGAAAAAAUCGCCUGUUAAUCAAUUGGUCGUAGGUUCGAUCCCUACCGCCGGAGCCA
rnacentral:tRNA from 1 species